rnacentral:rRNA from 1 species
AGUGAACGCUGGCGGUAGGCCUAACACAUGCAGGUCGAACGGCAGCACAGUAAGAGCUUGCUCUUACGGGUGGCGAGUGGCGGACGGGUGAGGAAUACAUCGGAAUCUACUUUUUCGUGGGGGAUAACGUAGGGAAACUUACGCUAAUACCGCAUACGACCUACGGGUGAAAGCAGGGGAUCUUCGGACCUUGCGCGAUUGAAUGAGCCGAUGUCGGAUUAGCUAGUUGGCGGGGUAAAGGCCCACCAAGGCGACGAUCCGUAGCUGGUCUGAGAGGAUGGUCAGCCACACUGGCACUGAGACACGGUCCAGACUCCUACGGGAGGCAGCAGUGGGGAAUAUUGGACAAUGGGCGCAAGCCUAAUCCAGCAAUACCGCGUGGGUGAAGAAGGCCUUCGGGUUGUAAAGCCCUUUUGUUGGGAAAGAAAAGCAGCAGGUUAAUACCCCGCUGUUCUGACGGUACCCAAAGAAUAAGCACCGGCUAACUUCGUG